UCCACAGAAAAAAAACUCAUGAACUUGGAGAACAGACUUGUGGUUGCCCAGGGGGAGGAGGAGGGAACGGGAUGGACUGCGAAUCUGGGGUUAAUAGAUGCAAACUAUUACCUUUGGAAAGAAUUAGCAAUGAGCUCCUGCUGUAUAGCACUGGGAACUAUAUCUAGUCAUUUAUGAUGGAGCAUGAUGGAGGAUAAUGUGAGAAAAAGAAUUAUAUAAGUAUGUUUGAUUGGGUCACUUUGCUGUACAGUAGGAAAUUGACAGAACACUGUAAACCAACUAUAAUGGAAAAAAUAAAAAUCAUUAAAAAAGAAAAGAUUAGAUAUAUCUGUUGGAGGUAUCCAGCGAUCUGCCUUCUAAUUUUUCCUGACCCAUGAUUAGACAUGCUUUUAUUAUGUGCCAUUGACACUCAAUGAUUAUUCCAUCCAUGAUUUAGGAUUAGUGUGUCUGAUACUUAAUGAGGGUGGGCUUUUUAUGAUACAAGGCAGAGAAUUUCAUAAAUUAUUUUAAAGUUUUCGAUGAGUAUGGUAAGAUAGAGAUGAUGGUUCCAAAAACUCUUGGAGAGAAACACAGUUUGUUCGUAUCUCUGUCCAUAUGUAUGUCUUGGCUAAAUUCUCCCUCCCCAACUGUGCCGAAGACCUGGAAUAGACAGAAGAGAGCUGUGAAAACCUGGAAAGUACUGCUUUGGGAUUUUCUUAACAUUGAGAAAAUGGAGGAGUCCUUGUUACUAACAGAAAAUUCAACUCUAUAGAUCAAGAUCAGUUUUUGGAAAUCAGAAGCAAGCAAAUAGAGAAGGAGGAAGAGAGAGAGAGAAGAUAACAACUUUCAUAGUGUGGGGAAAAUUUCACUAGUGCCACCAUUAAGCACAGUCCCGGGGAAAGCAGGAGAAAAGAGAUAGAGUCAGUUUCACCUCCAGUUCCUGUGAUGCCUCAUGGAGUGUGAGCCUCUUGCUGUGUUGAAUAGGAUUCUAGGGUGUAAAGGUAUGCAUUUUUCAUGUAACAUGGUCUCUGAGGAGCCAACCACUUUAUUUGGUACAGUCAUCUAUCCUAGAUCUGGACAUGGCAUGUCCCUACCACCAUCAAGCCUUUCUAACAGGAUUUAGGAGUAAUUUUAACUUUACAUAAUUUUGCUUCAUAUCCUGACUUUUGAACUCUACUGCCACACGAGAUAGUCAACUCCACAGUAAUCUGACAGCACUAUGGUACAAAGAACAGGUCAUAUUUCUGAUAGGGUAACUAAAUUUAUGUUUUCAAAAGGUAAUAGAAGAAGUAGAUGAUUUUAAGUAGAGCCACAAAGAUAGUUAAUACAUAUAAAAGAUGAAUAUCUAAGAAGGAUUUAAUCAUUAUAAUUAUUCCUUCUGUUGUGGCAAUGAAGGUUAGAUGGAUGUCUCAAUAAAGGUCUUUAAACAGAUUUUGAUUUCUUUUAC
rnacentral:lncRNA from 1 species